rnacentral:rRNA from 1 species
UGGGGAAUAUUGCAAAAUGGGCGCAAGUCUGAUGCAGCCAUGGCGCGUGUGUGAAGAAGGCCUUGGGGUUGUAAAGCACUUUCAGCGGGGAGGAAGGCGGUGAGGGUAAUAACAUCAUCGAGGGACGAUACCCGGAGAAGAAGCACCGGAUAACGCGGGGGCAGCAGGCGCGGUAAAACGGAGGGUGGAAGCGUGAAUCGGAAUGACUGGGCGUAAAGCGCACGCAGGCGGUCUGUCAAGUCUGAUGUGAAAUCCCCGGGCUCAACCUGGGAACUGCAUUCUAAACUGGCAGGCUAGAGUCUUGUAGAGGGGGGUAGAAUUCCAGGUGUAUCGCUGAAAUGCGUAUAGAUCUGGAGGAAUACCGGUGGCGAAGGCGGCCCCCUGGACACAGUCUGUCGCUCUGGUGCGAAAGCGUGGGGAGCACACAGG